AGAUCCUUCAAAUUGAUUUAGUACUAAACAAUACUCAAUGGCUUCGAGGACUAAGAAAACUAAACAUUAGAAAAGAUGUAGAGUUUUCCUUGAAAUGGGACCCACUUCAACAAUAAAUCUAAAGUAACGAUUAGCCAGGAUUAAUAUAAUAAUUCUUAAAGAUCUUGAUAAUGUUGCAAUCACUCUCGAAAGGACGGACACAGAGACGCGCGAAUCGACCUGGAAUGGCACGUAUAUCCCUUCCCUUCUUCCGGAUGAAGCUCCAAGAGAAUCAGAUUCUUGUAUUUUCUCUGCCGUUGUCAGAAGAAAACUGCCAGCCAUUUAUCGUUUCUCCCGAAGAUUACACCCACGCUCGUGGCCGUCUCAGAACCGCGUGCAAGACGUCACGGAA
rnacentral:misc_RNA from 1 species